AGAGUUUGAUCCUGGCUCAGGAUGAACGCUAGCGAUAGGCUUAACACAUGCAAGUCGAGGGGCAGCAUGAUCUUAGCUUGCUAAGGUUGAUGGCGACCGGCGCACGGGUGCGUAACGCGUAUGCAACUUGCCUUACAGAGGGGGAUAACCCGUUGAAAGACGGACUAAAACCGCAUACACUUGUAUUAUUGCAUGAUAUUACAAGGAAAUAUUUAUAGCUGUAAGAUAGGCAUGCGUCCCAUUAGCUAGUUGGUGAGGUAACGGCUCACCAAGGCGACGAUGGGUAGGGGAACUGAGAGGUUUAUCCCCCACACUGGUACUGAGACACGGACCAGACUCCUACGGGAGGCAGCAGUGAGGAAUAUUGGUCAAUGGGCGAGAGCCUGAACCAGCCAAGUCGCGUGAAGGAAGACAGUCCUAAGGAUUGUAAACUUCUUUUAUACGGGAAUAACGGGCGAUACGAGUAUUGCAUUGAAUGUACCGUAAGAAUAAGCAUCGGCUAACUCCGUGCCAGCAGCCGCGGUAAUACGGAGGAUGCGAGCGUUAUCCGGAUUUAUUGGGUUUAAAGGGUGCGUAGGUUGUUCGGUAAGUCAGCGGUGAAACCUGAGCGCUCAACGUUCAGCCUGCCGUUGAAACUGCCGGGCUUGAGUUCAGUGGCGGCAGGCGGAAUUCGUGGUGUAGCGGUGAAAUGCAUAGAUAUCACGAGGAACUCCGAUUGCGAAGGCAGCUUGCCAUACUGCGACUGACACUGAAGCACGAAGGCGUGGGUAUCAAACAGGAUUAGAUACCCUGGUAGUCCACGCAGUAAACGAUGAUUACUAGGAGUUUGCGAUAUACCGUCAAGCUUCCACAGCGAAAGCGUUAAGUAAUCCACCUGGGGAGUACGCCGGCAACGGUGAAACUCAAAGGAAUUGACGGGGGCCCGCACAAGCGGAGGAACAUGUGGUUUAAUUCGAUGAUACGCGAGGACCUUACCCGGGAUUGAAAUGUAGAUGACGGAUGGUGAAAACCGUCUUCCCUUCGGGGCGUCUAUGUAGGUGCUGCAUGGUUGUCGUCAGCUCGUGCCGUGAGGUGUCGGCUUAAGUGCCAUAACGAGCGCAACCCACAUCGGUAGUUGCUAACAGU
rnacentral:rRNA from 1 species